UUUAUUUCAACGCAUUCUCAAGCAUCUGUCAAAGGAAAGAUAUUUUAUGUGACAUCAGUAUACGUUUUGUUACCGUUAAUGCUGAAACCACAGACCACUGUUUCUACACUGCUGUCAUGUUUUCCUGGUACCAUGCAGAUCCUCAGUCAGAUACAGAAAAUACAUAUACGCCACCUCUGCCUAUGCUGGCCUCGCCUGCGACCCGUACUGGACCUGUGAAGACUAGUGGCAGGGUGUUUGUACUGGAGCACAAACGCAGAGCCCAUUGACAACUUGCUUAAUAAACACCAUGGGAAGAAGGACAUCCUCAGGAGUAUGCAGCAAUGGUCCACAGAUUCCUCUACUGAUCCAGACAGCAUGCUCCAUUCGACCACAAAACUGCACGUUUCACUGUAUGUCAAGCACCUGGCCAAACUGCUGAACACCAGUUCUUCAUUAAACAACUCCAGAGAAACGUCUUGAAAGCGGGUAGUAAAACAACCAGUGUGCCAGUGGUAACAAUGAAGCCUGCAGAUGUAAACCCACCAGCACCUGCUCUGACCACACUCCUAACUCAUGAGACCAUUGAGACAAUUGUAUUAUGGAGCGGCAGCAGCAACCUGAGCAGAAGAAGACUUGUCUUGCUUGUGGACAGCCAAAGAUGGUUCCUCUGUCCACUUUUCUUAAUCAGCAAGGCUCUGUCAGGUACUUCUACUGUUCCACAAAGGCUUUUAAUGCUUACAGUGAUGAUGCUUACUAACAAACCCCAGAGUUAUUUAAGAGAGAACUUGAGGACACAAAGAAACAGGUGGAGGAGAAAGGACAGCAAAAACGCAAAAGGCCUGAGUUUAAAGAGUCUGCAUUUUACGAGAUGGAAAGACAGA